GGGGAUGUAGCUCAGAUGGUAGAGCGCUCGCUUAGCAUGCGAGAAGUACGGGGAUCGACACCCUGCAUCUCCA
rfam:Daphnia pulex DAPPTscaffold_751_Cont10892, whole genome shotgun sequence.